rnacentral:lncRNA from 1 species
CACUGAUGAGUCUUGUGUAGACGCUAAACGUGGUCUGCCGUAUGAAUUAAAUUAUAAGCCUGGUAUCUUUGAUUAAUAUUACACCGGUCACAUCUGCCUGGCAAGUAUUUACAGGGUCUUUUACAAUCAAACAUUAUUUACAAAAAAAAAAAAAUAUUUUGAAAAAACCAACAAAAGAAAAAAAAAACAACCCUAUUUUCAAGUUAGCAUGCACCUAUUGGCGAGCACGACUUACAAAAUAUGCACAGAUAUCGGUUUAUAUUGAUUUUAAUAAUUGUUUGGCAGAAUGUUUACUAUAAUUUCAACUCUUCAAAUCGUUGUUUCGCCACUAAAACCUAUACAUAACAGGCAGGA